UGGCUGUAUUUCUUUCUUUCCAAAUUUGAUUGUGUCAUUCUUGUAAUUUCUUUACCAUGCUAUGCAGAAUGAAUCAUCUUUUGAUGGUGCUCAAGUCAUGGGCAUAGAUGCAUCUAACCAAAUAAUACUUGCUUCUGGAAGGCACCUGGUGUAGGUGGAGAACAUGUUCUUAGAGAGGUACAUUUAAAUCUCGUUCUUUGCCAAAUUAAUGGCUACCACCACUAAAUUUUUGCAACACCUUAUUGUAACAUGAUGGGCAGCAGUUCUAUGUCCCCUCUCCGAGCUGCUCUUUCAUGGUACUAGUUCCUCGGAGCAAUCCUUAUAUAUCUUGUAUAUCUUAAUUACUUCCUAUUUACAGCUAGGUAUUUGGCUUGCUAGGUAAAGCAAAGGAACCAUAUUGAUACUCACGAUGAACUUAAUUAGCAAAGUUAAAAUUCUGUUCAAAAUUCAGAACUGAUAUGAUUUAUUGUAUUUGUACAUGCUUUGCAUAUUGAUGAUUUGGUAAGCAUCGCUACACUGGGCAUGACCAAUUGCUUAAAAGAAGGUCUCUAUCAUAUUGAUGAUCUGUCAAAAUGUACGUGUAGAUAUUCUGCACAUUCUGGUUCAUGCCACUACUUAAUUAAGGUCUUCUUUUAUGAGGUUCUGCCUUGUGCAAAUAAUAUGAUUAUUUAGCAGCUUGGUUUCAUGGCUUUGGAUCUCAUGUGAAUAAACUAUAUAUUAAGUGUUUGCUGUUCUUUGCUUAAUAAUAAUAAUAGUAACUUUGGAAAUUACAAGCUUCAGUACAAAGAUGCCAAAGUUUUGAUAUAAAUUGUACUAACUCAUAAUGGUGGCUUCUAAUUAUAGUGAACUAGAUAGGCGCUCACAUGCUAGUGGGCUUCGGUGGCAUUUUGAGCUCUUGGCUGUUGUCUUUAACUGCCAAUGCGUAGCGGCCAACAAAAUUAGCUCUAGUGCUUUGUGUGAACUUAUGGUGGUUAUUUACUUUAUUUCAUUGUACACUGCAUUGUGCUAUAUAUGUUCCAUAAGUAUAAACAUGCUAUGCUUGGCAUGCGGUUUUGGGGAAAAAGGAAGCAUCGCAUGUGUACAAAUCGUUUGACCUGCAUUUUACUACUUGCUAUUUACUAUACAUCGAAAUUGUACUUGUAAGUGUAAAAAUUUGUCUGCGGUUAAAAAAGUUUUGUAUCAAGCUUGUAAGUUUUGUCACAAGGAUGAGAUUGUUUAAUACUACAAAACUUCAUACCUUUGCUUUCAUAAUUUCUGUAUACGAAACCAUUCUAAACUAAACCAACUAGAUCCGAUCCUUAUCUGUUCAUAAUUUUUUUCUCUGUGGUUCAAAAAGUUAAUUGACGUCUACAAAGUUGUACUAAAGUUGCAUCAAUUAAUUUGGGUAUUAGGGAGUAUCAAUCUUGUAAGUUUUGUCACAAGGAUGAGAUUGUUGAAUGCUACUCCCUCCAUUCUGAAUUACUUGUCGCAGGUAUGGAUGUAUCUAGAUGUAUUUUAGUUUUAGAUACAUCCAUUUUUGUGACAAGUAAUUUGGAACGGAGGGAGUACAAAACUUCAUACCUUUGCUUCAUGUUCUUGAUGUUUGAACUGGGGAUCCCAUGAAAUUCUUUUUUGUAACAUGGUUCUCAUCUCUGAACAUCCUCAGCUUUCCAUUUUUAGAAUUUUUUAAAACAAAAUACGGCAAUUGACAUCUGUUUCGUUAGCUUUUUAUACUAAUGUUUUACUUCUCCGAACUAAAUUUUUGCAAAUUACAUCGAUCUAGUUGCAGGUCUUUGUAUAUUUCCACAAUUAUGGAGGGUGUGGUUUAGCUGUGUUUUUCAGAGCAUUGCAAGUUUGGUGACUCUUCUGGGGGAGUCAUGUGGCUCUUUUUGAAUGAUGGCGUUUCAUAGGAUGGUGGCAAGUCUGGUAUUUAGAAGACAUUUUAUGAAGCCUGAGGAAGUCCUGGAUUAGGGGGUGUUCGGAUAGCCGGAACUAUACCUUCGGCCGGACUCCUGGGCUAUGAAGAUAUAAGAUUGAAAAUUUCGUCCCGUGUCUGGAAGGGACUUUUCUUGGCGUGGAAGGCAAGCUUGGCGAUACGGAUAUGUAGAUCUCCUACCAUUGUAACCGACUCUGUGUAACCCUAGCCCUCUUCGGUGUUUAUAUAAACUGGAGGGUUUUAGUCCGUAGGAACAACCAUCAUACCAUAGGCUAGCUUUUAGGGUUUAGCUUCCUUAAUCUCGUGGUAGAUCUACUCUUGUACUACCCAUAUCAUCAAUAUUAAUCAAGCAGGAGUAGGGUUUUACCUCUAUCGAGAGGGCCCGAACCUGGGUAAAAACAUCGUGUCCUUUGUCUUCUGUUACCAUCCGUCUAG
rnacentral:lncRNA from 1 species